rnacentral:lncRNA from 1 species
CCAAGGGCGAACACAGGGUGAAGGAUGAGAGACCCGAUGACGAUUUUACUACUAACCUGUCCCAGAGGAGUGGACCGAGACUUGUCACCAAGGGAAGGAGACAGGAGUAAGGCAUGAAGUGAGAAUAAAACGGAAACGUCAGUUAACUUAGAAAGGGCAUGGAGGAGAAGAGCCAACGACCUAGAUCCGCAUGAGACUAGAGCCCGACUAAGUUAGUUCAAAUUACUGGGACAAAGUCACAGGCUAGCUUCUACCUCUUCUUCCUCAAGCUGCACAGAACAGGAACGUGAUGAAAAACACGUUUGAAUCCAUUGUAGUAACAGCUACCGUUUGUCGCGG